GACGAACGCUGGCGGCGUGCUUAACACAUGCAAGUCGAACGGAAAGGCCCUGCUUUUGUGGGGUGCUCGAGUGGCGAACGGGUGAGUAACACGUGAGUAACCUGCCCUUGACUUUUGGAUACCUUCAGGAAACUGUGGCUAAUACCGGAUAGGAGCUCCUGCUGCAUGGUGGGGGUUGGAAAGUUUCGGCGGUUGGGGAUGGACUCGCGGCUUAUCAGCUUGUUGGUGGGGUAGUGGCUUACCAAGGCUUUGACGGGUAGCCGGCCUGAGAGGGUGACCGGCCACAUUGGGACUGAGAUACGGCCCAGACUCCUACGGGAGGCAGCAGUGGGGAAUAUUGCACAAUGGGCGGAAGCCUGAUGCAGCAACGCCGCGUGCGGGAUGAAGGCCUUCGGGUUGUAAACCGCUUUCGCCUGUGACGAAGCGUGAGUGACGGUAAUGGGUAAAGAAGCACCGGCUAACUACGUG
rnacentral:rRNA from 1 species